UCUUGGUCAAAAUAUGACUGAGACGGAAAUUACAGAUCUAUUAGUUUAAAACAUACAUCUAUUUGUUUAAGUCACAUAUAUAUUAAGCAAGACAUCUUAUACAUAUGUUUCAAAAAACAAUUAAUUCAUCACUAGAUUUUCGUAAUGUGAUAAAAUUUGACAUGCUGGGCAAUCAUCCGAGCCACUUACUAAUAUUUGCUUUAAAGAUUGAAAAAUAUUCCUAGUUAAUAGUAGACAUGUGGGAAUGAAUGCAUCAUAGAUUUCGAAUACGGUGAGACCCCAUGGUACAGUAACAUAAGACGUAAGAUAUAUAAGAAGAAGAAUAUUGGCUUACCAUUAAUCCAUUAUCGAUCAACAGAGUCGAAUAAUGUAACUAGUGGGAUCGUUGUUCGAUCAAGAAUUACAAUGCAAGUUGAGUCUCUAUAUAAAGGAACCCAAGCAUGCAUUGUUUGCAAGUGAGACAGUCGGAGUACAUAGAAGCACUUGAAAUUAAGGAGAAAUUAAUUAAAGAUGGCUAGCAUAUUCCAGUAAAUCCUGGGCAAAACAUUCCCUUAAAAAUGUCGAAGGUGAAUGCGCCUGAACACAUGAAUGAGUUGAAGGUUCAUUCAAGGUUGUUUUCUUAUAAUCCUCAUUCUUCCAACUUUGAAAUUGCAAACGGCAAUGCUUACUUUAAAGUUGGACAACCUGGUGAGAAAGUAGUUCCUGGAGAGAAAGGCUCUGUUACAGUCCACGUUGUUUGGGCCUAAUUCCCAUUAUCAAAUCAUGCACGGUGCAGUUACUAUUACUAUUUACUAAGUAAUACGUACUACUAGCUUCUAAAUAAGACUUGCAAUCCCUGCACUAGUGUUAAGAUGUUAACGUUAAUUUCAUAUAUAUACGCUCAUGUACUAUUUGCUUCUGCUUACAUACCGCUGCCGCUCGCUUUAGCAUCAGCGUCGCAUCUUAAUAAUACCAUAAACUCAUAUAUUUGUUAGAAUUAGAAAAAGGGUGAAGAAGAUGAAUACUAUGAAUAACGAAUCUUCUAGGCGUGUGUCGACACUUUCCCAAAAGCAAUAUUCCUACCCUACACUGAGCACGGGUUGCAAGGAAUUCACUUUCGAGAUACAAAGAAGAACAACAAAUAUCACGCUCGUUAUGAAAUUUGUCAAAUGAGUGAAAGGAAGAAAUUAUUUGUAAGAUGAUGAACUUUUGAUUUAAUUUUUGUGCAAGAGAGAGAAUCUGAUUUUUCAUCUAUCCUUCAUCAUAUGAGAGUUCUCAUAUAUAUACCAAUGCUCAAUUGUUUCUGAGAAA